rnacentral:rRNA from 1 species
CAGUAGCCGCGGGAAUACAGAGGAUGCAAGCGUUAUCCGGAAUGAUUGGGCGUAAAGCGUCUGUAGGUGGCUUUUCAAGUCCGCCGUCAAAUCCCCGGGCUCAACCCUGGACAGGCAGUGGAAACUACCAAGCUGGAGUACGGCAGGGGCAGAGGGAAUUUCCGGUGGAGCGGUGAAAUGCGUUGAGAUCGGAAAGAACACCAACGGUGAAAGCACUCUGCUGGGCCGACACUGACACUGAGAGACGAAAGCUAGGGGAGCAAAUGGGAUUAGAUACCCCCGUAGUCCCUGUCUCUUAUAC